UAAACCCCACUCUGACUUCUUCAUCUUAAAUGUCCGCAGAGAGGUGGCUCACCCAAGCCCAUAGAUGCCAUGAGGGUGGAGAACAAAGAAUGCUGGUCUGCGAAGAAGGAAGGGAGAAGGGACCGAGACGACAGGAGGAGCACAGCAACACUCAUGACUAAGAAAGAGAAAACUGGGAAAAGAAGAAAAUGCCUUCUGGUGACCUCUCACAUAGUCGGAAUGUUUGUUUCGGCUCGAAGUUCACAUAUUGAAACCUUACCACAAGUGCUGGAAAGCCUGAGAGGUACUCCUUCCUCAGAACCCCUUUCCAAGAUGAGGCUGGUUCCUGGCAAACAGGAGCCAAUCUUUCGUACCUGAUCUAGGACAUGUUUAAAAUUAAAAGCAAUCUGAAUAAAGCAUACACUAAUCCAUUUCUAUUUACUUGUGUUUCGAAGAGAACUCUCUGAGUAAAUUCUAGAAGAACAGCAUUGGGUGGCAAAAGAAAUCCAGCUGCAAGU
rnacentral:lncRNA from 1 species